GAGAGGGCACACGGCCACACUGGCACUGAAACACGGGCCAGACUCCUACGGGAGGCAGCAGUGGGGAAUCUUGCACAAUGGAGGAAACUCUGAUGCAGCGACGCCGCGUGAGCGAUGAAGCCCUUCGGGGUGUAAAGCUCUUUCGACGGGAACGAUAAUGACGGUACCCGGAGAAGAAGCUGCGGCUAACUACGUGCCAGCAGCCGCGGUAAUACGUAGGCAGCAAGCGUUGUUCGGAAUUACUGGGCGUAAAGAGUGUGUAGGCGGUUCCCUAAGUUCGGUGUGAAAUCUCCCGGCUCAACUGGGAGGGUGCGCCGGAAACUGGGGGGCUUGAGUAUGGGAGAGGAAGGCGGAAUUCCUGGUGUAGCGGUGAAAUGCGUAGAUAUCAGGAGGAACACCUGCGGUGUAGACAGCUUUCUGGACCAUCACUGACGCUGAGACACGAAAGCGUGGGUAGCAAACAGGAUUAGAUACCCUGGUAGUCCACGCCCUAAACGAUGCAUACUUGGUGUGAGCCGUUCAGUCGGUUCGUGCCGGAGCUAACGCGUUAAGUAUGCCGCCUGGGGAGUACGGUCGCAAGGCUGAAACUCAAAGGAAUGA
rnacentral:rRNA from 1 species